AUCAACUUUAGUCUCAGUGUUGUUCUUUGACCUGACGUCUAUGGUAACAUUUUCAUUGGCUGGGACAUUAAAAUGCCUCAGAAUGUUCCAGACGUGACACUGCAGUUUUCAAAAUACUGUUUCAUGCAUUUAAGCAUUCACAGUAACACUCAGAGGUAAAUACGUGGAGGAAUGUCUGUAUGUAAUGUAAAGAGUUAACAGCUAUAUUUCUCCACAACAUUUCUAACAAUAAAUCAUUAUUAUCGCUUUCUCUAAACAGAAACAUUCAAUCAUUCAUUCAGUCUUUUCUUCAUGAUUCCCAGUGUCACAUUUAAAUUUAAAAUCAUGAGAACCGUCCUAGUAGCAGACCUCAUACACUGCCCCAUAUAAGACAUUAAGGAAAGGCUUAAUGGGGUGUGUCCAAAAACGUUUGAGAACCACUGCUUUAUUAUAACACCGUCUAGUGUUGGAUGGAUGUGUGUCUUCCAGCACAUAAGACUAACAGCCAAUAGUGGUUAUGGUGAUGCCUAAAUUUAUAAAAACAUUAUUAAAUUAUAAUCUGCACAUUAUCUAAUCCUCCCAUGCUACUGGUCAGUGUACAAUAUCCAGCCACAGAUUUUUAUAACACUAAAAUAAAAAUCACCUUUUGUUUGUUGUACUGAUUGGCGAUGAUUUUUUAUUUAUUUUUUAAUUGUGCACUUUUUUGUGAUUUUCCCAUGUGUUUUUAUUUUAUGUAUGUUCUGAAUAAAUACUUACUAUAUAUUAUUUAAGAGAGAUAACUCGUAAUGUUUUUCAAGUGCACGCGGACACGCCCCCUUGUUUCCGUGGAAACGUGCGCACUGCGCAGUUUCACUUUCACUUAACAACGAAGAACGGUCGAGUCUUUGCAGCAGUAUCUUAUCCUGGCGAACGCAUUUAUGCAGUCAUGGACAGUGUUAAGAUGGACGUGAAGGAAAUGGUUAUUGAAGUCAAUGAACUUCCAGACGACUACCCCAAUAAUAAAAUGAUUGACAAAUUAACCAUGCACUUUCUGAGGCCCAGAAACAACGGUGGAGAGGUUUUAAUAGUGAUAUAUCCCACCUCCAACAAAGGCCAGGCUUAUGUUGUUUUUGAUUCAGAAGGUAUGAUACUAUGCAUUGAUGUUCUGUUCUUAUACGUAUAUCUAAGUUUAAAAUCAUAUUUCAUGACUAACAUUUAUUAUUCUUUUUUUUUUUUUUUUUUAUUCAAUAUCUUAGUACUCCGAGUCUUGGACCAUAAUCAUGUUUUGGAACUGGAUGGUCAGUUUUACCCACUGGAUGUUAAAAAGAUACAUCAGCCUAAGGAUGUGGGGCAGGCCCUGUGGUUGAAUUAGGGACUAAGUACCUCCCUGUCAGAAAAAAGGAAACAAGAGUUGAGGCUCUUGUGCUAAAACUGUUAAAAUGUGAGAAAUACAUUAUACAAAUACAUUUUCCUUAUAAUUUAUGAAGCACUGAUUUUGAUUUUAUAUUGUAUGAAUUGAGAAUGUGUAUAUUAUCGAUUAUUUCUAUCAGAUACAGUUUUCUGUUUUAUAAAAAAAAAAAAAAAUAAAUCCCCCAUGUUUUGGUCUGCUAUUUAAGAAUUUCGACAGUGGUCAUUAUGAUUAACUGGUUGUCUUAACACAGUAUUCUUUUUUUGGCAUUUGGUUAUGUUUAGAUAUUUUAAUAAUUUUUAGGCAUCACUGUAAUGUAAUCAAAUGUCAUUUCUUUGAUAAAUCGAUGAUGUAUGUUAAUCUAUAUGAAAUAAUCUAUGAAAUUUGUAAUAGUUAUACAUUACUGUAAAUAGUGACUUGAUAGUAGCUCAUUCUCCGAUUUCCAUUGUUCUCAAACUACUGUAAUCCCAUAAUAAUUCCUCACAGUAAACUGAAUAAGGUGUUACUCAUACCGAAAACAUUUGUCUUUAAAGAGAUAGUUCACCCAAAAAUGAAAAUGUUGUCAAUAAUUACUUGCCUUCAUGUUGUUCCAAACCCGUAAGACCUUCGUUCAUCUUCAGAAUGCAAAUUAAGAUAUUUUUGGUGAAAUCUGAGAGCUCUCUGACCCUGCAUAGACAGCCAUGUAACUGACAGGUUCAAGGCCUAGAAACGUAGCAAGGACAUCAGUGGUUCAACCGUUAUAGGUUUGUAAAAUUGCGAUUGAACCUCUGAUGUCACAUGGACUAUUUUACCCUUUUACCGAUGUACCGAUGGGUCUGGGAACAUUUCAGUUGCAUUGCUGUCUAUGGGAGGGUCAGAGAGCUCUCGGAUUUCAUCAAGAAAAUCUUGUGUUCCGAAGAUGAACGAAGCUCUUACAGGUUUGGAACGACAUGAGGGUGAGUAAUUAAUGACAACAUUUUCAUUUUUGGGUGAACUAUUCCCUUUAAGUCAACAUACAUAAUGACAUAACCUUUUGGCUUUAAAGCAGUAAAUGUAUUUUUGUUAUGGACCUGAACUUUCAGCUCUCAAAUGUCCUACCUUUUAAACUUGAAUGCAUUUCAGUUUUGGUUGCCAAUUAUCUACUACCAUAUUAUUUGAGCAGAAUUCGUACAUGUUUUUAAUAAAACGCAAUUUGUAAUACUGUGAUUAAGAAGAAACAUGUUAAUUUGGAUGGUUCCAUAGUAUUUAACUGACAAGCUCUCAGUUAAAUACUAUGGAACCAUCCAAAUGAACAUGUUCAGUGAUAGUAUCACUGCUGAUUGGUAUCACAAUUGCUCCCAGCACCCCUUUUUAUUUCUCCAUAAAUGGCAUGCUGUGCGCCCUUUCCUGUCUGUCUGUAUCUUGUUUGGUCCUGUUGUUUAUGGUUGUGAGUAGGUUUUGCAAGAAUGGAACAGAUCCUAGAUUAGUGUGUGUGGGCAGCAAAACUCGGACUAUGUGGGAGAUCUAGCUCUUGACAGCAGUCUAUGAUCCAAACUCCCCUGUGAUUGCAGGACCAGAUGAAGUGGGUGGGCUUUUAGAAAUGCCAUUCACCCUCUUGUAAGAUAAUGAUCAUUUUUAGCUUAUUUUAUUGAAUAUGCGUGACUAAUUGCGCAUAUAAAAAUGACACAACAAACACGGGGAAGGUUAUGAAUGGCAAAGGACUGAGCAAAAAAGGUUUCGUUAACAGGACAGAGGUUUAGUUAAAGUUUCGCUGUGGCUGCUUUCAGGUCCUGUGGUAGCUCAGCAAGAUCAGAAAUACUUUUCUCGUGUUUAAAGAUAGUUCCUUCUACCACAUGCGUACAGAGAUACGUUCUCUUGAACAGGAUGACAUGCUGGAGCCUGCAGACCGCAGUCGUCACUGACUUCACUCAGCACAGCCUCAGAUCAUGCAACAACCAAGAUGUAGGCCACACCCACUCCACAUUCGUCUCCUUUACCGGCUUCGAGAGGACGGCAGUCAGUGCUGGGUUUCUGUGUCUUUCUCGUCACCUUCUACUUUUCUCUCCAUCCAAUCAUCCG
rnacentral:lncRNA from 12 species